rnacentral:rRNA from 1 species
UAAUACGGAGGGUGCGAGCGUUAUCCGGAUUUACUGGGUUUAAAGGGUGUGUAGGCGGACUGUUAAGUCAGUGGUGAAAUCCCGGGGCUCAACCCCGGAACUGCCAAUGAUACUAUCAGUCUUGAAUACUGUGGAGGUGAGCGGAAUGUGUCAUGUAGCGGUGAAAUGCAUAGAGAUGACACAGAACACCGAUUGCGAAGGCAGCUCACUACGCAGUUAUUGACGCUGAGGCACGAAAGCGUGGGGAUCAAACAGGAUUAGAUACCCUGGUAGUCCACGCCCUAAACGAUGAUUACUCGACAUUGGCAAUAAGACCGAUCAGUGUCUGAGCGAAAGCAUUAAGUAAUCCACCUGGGAAGUACGUCCGCAAGGAUG